rnacentral:rRNA from 1 species
GGGCCCGCACAAGCGGAGGAACAUGUGGUUUAAUUCGAUGGUACGCGAGGAACCUUACCUGGGCUAGAACGCAGCGGGACAGCGGGGGAGACCCCGCUUCCAGCGAUGGUCGGCUGCGAGGUGCUGCAUGGUUGUCGUCAGCUCGUGCCGUGAGGUGUCGGGUUAAGUCCCAUAACGAGCGCAACCCCUACCGCCAGUUGCCAGCGGGUAAAGCCGGGAACUCUGGCGGGACUGCCGGCGUAAGCCGCGAGGAGGGUGGGGAUGACGUCAAAUCAGCACGGCCCUUACGUCCAGGGCUACACACGUGUUACAAUGGCCGGUACAACGGGAUGCCACUCGGCAACGGGGCGCGGAUCCCGAAAACCGGUCCCAGUUCGGAUUGGGGUCUGUAACCCGACCCCAUGAAGCUGGAUUCGCUAGUAAUCGCGCAUCAGCCACGGCG